rnacentral:rRNA from 1 species
UACGUAGGGCGCAAGCGUUGUCCGGAAUUAUUGGGCGUAAAGAGCUCGUAGGCGGUUUGUCGCGUCUGCUGUGAAAACCUGAGGCUCAACCUCGGGCUUGCAGUGGGUACGGGCAGACUAGAGUGCGGUAGGGGGUGACUGGAAUUCCUGGUGUAGCGGUGGAAUGCGCAGAUAUCAGGAGGAACACCGAUGGCGAAGGCAGGUCACUGGGCCGCAACUGACG